CCCUUAGAUGUUCGGGGCCGCACGCGCGCUACACUGAAGGAAUCAGCACGUCUUUCGCCUUGUCCGAAAGGACUGGGUAACCCGCUGAACCUCCUUCGUGCUAGGGAUUGGGGCUUGUAAUUCUUCCCCAUGAACGAGGAAUUCCCAGUAAGCGCGAGUCAUAAGCUCGCGUUGAUUACGUCCCUGCCCUUUGUACACACCGCCCGUCGCUACUACCGAUUGGAUGGUUUAGUGAGAUCCUCGGAUUGGUCCCGGAGCGGCCUCUGGUCGUGCCGGAGUGCCGAAAAGAAUGUCGAACUUGAUCAUCUAGAGGAAGUAAAAGUCGUAACA
rnacentral:rRNA from 1 species